rnacentral:rRNA from 1 species
AGCGAACGCUGGCGGCAGGCCUAACACAUGCAAGUCGAACGAACCUUUCGGGGUUAGUGGCGGACGGGUGAGUAACACGUGGGAACGUGCCUUUAGGUUCGGAAUAACUCAGGGAAACUUGUGCUAAUACCGAAUGUGCCCUUCGGGGGAAAGAUUUAUCGCCUUUAGAGCGGCCCGCGUCUGAUUAGCUAGUUGGUUGAGGUAAUGGCUCACCAAGGCGACGAUCAGUAGCUGGUCCGAGAGGAUGAUCAGCCACAUUGGGACUGAGACACGGCCCAAACUCCUACGGGAGGCAGCAGUGGGGAAUCUUGCGCAAUGGGCGAAAGCCUGACGCAGCCAUGCCGCGUGAAUGAUGAAGGUCUUAGGAUUGUAAAAUUCUUUCACCGGGGACGAUAAUGACGGUACCCGGAGAAGAAGCCCCGGCUAACUUCGUG